UACGUAGGUGGCAAGCGUUGUCCGGAUUUACUGGGCGUAAAGAGCGCGCAGGCGGUCGUUCAAGUCGCGUGUGAAAGCCCCCGGCUCAACUGGGGAGGGUCACGCGAUACUGAUCGACUGGAAGGCAGGAGAGGGUAGUGGAAUUCCCGGUGUAGUGGUGAAAUGCGUAGAUAUCGGGAGGAACACCAGUGGCGAAGGCGACUUCCUGGCCUGUUCUUGACGCUGAGGCGCGAAAGCUAGGGUAGCAAACGGG
rnacentral:rRNA from 1 species